UUGGUUGGUGCCGCCCAGCCCAGGCCCCUUUUAAACUUGAUCUCCGCUGUGCCCUCCCCUUUCGGCUGCGGCGCGUGACUGGGCUUGGUGGAGUUUCAAGAUGCUGAUGAACUUAAGGUCUGGUGCUUGAAAGAAUCAGUGAAGCUUUUCAAGUAGAGGAGGAUUAUGCCACCAUGACUAGAAGACCCCCUAAUGGAGUUUAUCUGCACUGCAAGGGGCCAGUUGUCUCAGAAUCAUCCUCCGUUGACAUCUCCAUCUCCAGGACAGCUCCACACCAAUCUGUUUCAAAGACAAAGACAAAAUCUGGUCUAAUCAGUUUGAUGUAUGUUUCUGGGAACAGAGCCGAAUGUUGUAGCUGAUGGAAUGGAGUCUCAUACCAUUGAUUUUGCAGCUGGACAAGUGCCCUGCAUUGUUACAGCUGAUGGAAUGGAGUCUCAUACUAUUGAUUUUGCAGCUGGACAAGUGCCCUGCCAUGUUACUGCCACUCUUUAAGGCAGAAUAGAGCAUAUUGAGUCAUUUAUAGGCCUCUCACAGUGAGAAAUAUGUGGAACUUUGGAAAUCAGAAUCUAAAACUGCAGUCCAAUGGGGUAGCCACUAUUCACAUGUGCUAUUGAGUACCUAAAAUUUGGCUAGACCAAGUUGACAUGUGCUGAAGGGUGAAAAACAUCAGGAGUGAAGAAUUAACUUGAAAAAAAUGUAAACUAUCUCAAUAUUAUAUUGAUUACAAAUUAAAUGAUGUUUUGAAUAUAUUGAGUUAAAUGAAAUACAUUUUUUAAUGAUACAUGAUGUGUAUUAUAUUUCUGUUGGACAGUACUGGUCUAAAACAGUUGAUUCACCAUCCAGUAGAGAGAAAGAUAUUGCUGUUUUACCAUAUAUGACCUUCAGGGAAAAGAAGAAUAAAAUCAGCACUUGAAAAUGCAAAAUUUACAGAUAAGCAGCUAUUUUUUGAAGGGCAGAAGGUGAAGGGGUAGUCAGCACUACUUAGAAGAUUUGACAUAAAUUCUACACUCAAGCUGCUAGUACUUCUGGAGAUUUUAAAUGAAAGACUUCAGAGCGUAUUUAGUAAACACCCUGUUAUGCCCACUCUACAAGCAUCUGUGUGUUCAUUAAUCAAGAGCAGGCCAGGUGCAGUGGUUCACACAGUGGCUCCCACACAGCACUUUGGUAGGCCAAGGCGGGCAGGUUGCUUGAACUCAGGAGUUUCAGACCAGCCUGGGCAACAUGGCAAGACCCCAUCUAUAAAUAAAUGUAAAAAAAAAAAAUUUUUUUUUUUUUUUUUUUUUUUUUUUUUUUUUUUUUUUUUUUUUGAGAUAGAGUCUUGCUCUGUCGCCCAGGCUGGAGUGCAGGGGUGGUCUCGGCUCACUGCAACCUCCACCUCCUGGGUCCAAGCAAUUUUCCUGCCUCAGCCUCCUGAUAGCUGGGAUUACAGACGUGUGCCACCAUGUCUGGCUAAUUUUUGUACUUUUAGUAGAGACAGGGUUUCACCAUGUUGGCCAGACUGGUCUCAAACUCCUGACCUCAAGUGAUCCACCCACCUCAGCCUCCCAAGGUGCUGGGAUUACAGGUAUAAGCCACCAUGCCUGACCCCAAAUUUUUUUAGUUAAGAAAAAAAUCAAGAGCAAAAGGACUUGGUAUGCUACAUCUCAUCAAAAUGCAACUUCCUUAAUGAAGAACCAUAUGAAGGAUAGUUCUAGUUUCUUUUUUUGAGACGGAGUCUCACUCUGUCGCCCAGGCUGGAGUGCAGUGGCGCAAUCUCGGCUCACUGCAAGCUGCACCUCCUGGGUUCACGCCAUUCUCCUGCCUCAGCCUCCCGAGUAGCUGGGACUACAGGCACCUGCCUCCACGCCCGGCUAACUUUUUGUAUUUUUAGUAGAGACAGGGUUUCACCAUGUUAGCCAGGAUGGUCUCGAUCUCCUGACCUCGUGAUCUGCCCGCCUCGGCAUCCCAAAGUGCUGGGAUUACAGGCGUGAGCCACCGCACCUGGCCAGUUCUAGUUUCUUGAUCCCUGAUCUAGUUUGUGUGUGUGUGUGUGUGUGUGUGUGUGUACUAAAGUGUCUUUCAGAGUUUUGGUUUUUUGAUAUAUUUUUUUUUAAUGGAAGGGGAGAGAUUGUGGGCAGUGGCACCAUAAAUAUUACCUUGUAUAAAGCACUCUUUUUAAAAAUUACCUUAUGUUAAGCAAAAUGUUCCGUAAAAUUCUCCUUUUCCUGUCUUCACUGUGUGCUCUAAAAAACAGGUCUGUGUAAAUUCUUUUGUAGUUUCCUUGCUACUAAUAAUGACAUUUUGUCUUUUUGUGUUUAA